rnacentral:rRNA from 1 species
UACGAAGGGGGCUAGCGCUGUUCGGAAUUACUGGACGUAAAGCGCACGUAGGCGGAUAUCUAAGUCAGGGGUGAAAUCCCGGGGCUCAACCCCGGAACUGCCUUUGAUACUGGGUAUCUCGAGUCCGAGAGAGGUGAGUGGAAUUCCGAGUGUAGAGGUGAAAUUCGUAGAUAUUCGGAGGAACACCAGUGGCGAAGGCGGCUCACUGGCUCGGUACUGACGCUGAGGUGCGAAAGCGUGGGGAGCAAACAGA